rnacentral:rRNA from 1 species
CUAGCUUGGAUACCAACUGUCACGGACUUAGAGUUUUCCCAAGCAAUCCGUGCGGCCUUAAGCGUUUCUCCGCUCAAAAAUGCCUAAGUCAGCCUGUCUUGCAACAAUUGAGGAUUCAAUAGAACUCAUCUAAAGAACCCACGAAGAACAGUAGAAGAACGAAGUAAGAACGAUCUCAAAAGAUGAACAAAAGCCACAGAAAAAUAAGAACACUUGAGAAAAAAGUUUGAGUGAAUACUCUCAAAAUUCUAUUGAUCACUCCUUGAAUACAAUAAGGGGGAGAGGCCUCUAUUUAUAGUUGAGCCUUCCCAAUAUCAACAGUACAGAUCGAAAUACAUUAAUGGCUAAGAUCUAAAGCUAUCAAGAUAUCAAAUCUCUAAGAUUACAGAAUUGCAUCUUCUAAAGAUUACAUUAAAGUCUAGGAUCAUAUAUCUUUGAAGAUCCCCUUCCAUAUUUGCCACGCAUAUCUUUGAAGAUUACUUUCCAUAUUUGCCAAGCUCCGGAGAUAGGCUUUCAAUCUCUCCAAGCACUGGACCAGUCUGAUUGGGCCAAUUGACCUCCCUCAAAAGCGAUAAAUCGCACAAGUCCAUCAUGGUUGCAAGUUCCCCUUCGCAACCCAUGACACUAGUAGCUGGUUCCCUCCGAAGUUUCCUUCAAGAUAGCUGGAGCCCUUAGCGAGUUAGAUCGAGUAAAUCCAAUGAUCAGAUGCAUCGGGGGAGCAACGCCCUCGACCUAUUCUUAGACUUUAAAUAGGUAAGACGGUGCGGCUGCUUCAUUGAACCGCGCCACGAAAUCGAGAGCUCCAAGUGGGCUAUUUUUGGUAAGUAGAACUGGCGAUGCGGGAUGAACUGGAAGUCGGGUUACGGUGCCCAACUGCGCGUUAACCUAGAACCCACAAAGGGUGUUGGUCGAUUAAGACAGCAGGACGGUGGUCAUGGAAGUCGAAAUCUACUAAGGAGUGUGUAACAACUCACCUGUCGAAUCAACUAGCCCCAAAAAUAGAUGGCAGUUAAGCGCAUGACCUAUACCCGACCAUAAGGGCAAGAGCCAGGCCUCGAUGAGUAGGAUGGCGCGGCAGUCGUCGCAAAACCUUGGGUGCGAACCCAGGCGGAGCGGCCGUCGGUGUAGAUCUUGGUGGUAUUAGCAAAUAUUCGAAUGAGAGCUUUGAAGGUCGAAGAAGGGAAAGGUUCCAUGUGAACGACACUUGCACAUGGGUUAGUCGAUCCUAAGAGACGGGGGAAGCCCGUCUGAUAGCGCGUUCAGCGCGAGCUUCGAAAGGGAAUCAGGUUAAAAUUCCUGAACUGGGACGCAGCGGCUGACGGCAAUGUUAGGGAGUCUGGAGACAUCGACGGGGGCCUCGGGAAGAGUUAUCUUUUCUGUUUAACUGCCUACCCACCCUAGAAACGGCUCAGCCGGAGGUAGGGUCCAGCUGCCGGAAGAGCACCGCACGUGGCGUGGUGUCCGGUGUGCCCCCGACGGCCCUUGAAAAUUCUGAGGACCAAGUGCCAUCUGCGUCCGGUUGUGCUCAUAACCGCAUCAGGUCUCCAAGGUGAACAGCCUCUGGUUAAUGGAACAAUGUAGGCAAGGGAAGUCGGUAAAAUGAAUCUGUAACCUCGGGAAAAGGAUUGGCUCUGAGGGCUGGGCAUGGGGGUCCUAGUCCCGAACCCGUCAGCUGCCGAUGUACUGCUCGAGCUGCUUUUGCGGCAAGAGCGGGUCGACACGUGCCGUCCGGGGGAUGGACUGGGAACGGCUCCUUCGGGGGCCUUCCCCGGAUGACGAACAGUCGACUCAGAACUGGUACGGACAAGGGGAAUCCGACUGUCUAAUUAAAACAAAGCAUUGCAAUGGUCUCUGUGGAUGCUCACGCAAUGUGAUUUCUGCCUAGUGCUCUGAAUGUCAAAGUGAAAAAAUUCAACCAAGCGCGGGUAAAUGGCGGGAGUAACUAUGACUCUCUUGAGGUAGCCAAAUGCCUCAUCAUCUAAUUAGUGACGCGCAUGAAUGGAUUAACGAGAUUCCCACUGUCUCUGUCUACUAUCCAGCGAAACCACAGCCAAGGGAACGAGCUUGACAGAAUCAGCGGGGAAAGAAGACCCUGUUGAGCUUGACUCUAGUCCGACUUUGUGAAAUGACUUGAGAGGUGUAGGAUAAGUGGGAGCUCUCGGGCGAAAUUAAAAUACCACUACUUUUAACGUUAUUUUACUUAUUCUAUGAAUCAGAGGUGGGGCACGGCCCCUCUUUUUGGACGCAAGGUCAGCUUCGACCGGCUGAUCCGGGCGAAAGACAUUGUCAGGUGGGGAGUUUGGCUGGGGCGGCACAUCUGUUAAAAGAUAACGCAGGUGUCCUAAGAUGAGCUCAACAAGAACAGAAAUCUCGUGUGGAACAAAAGGGUAAAAGCUCAUUUGAUUCUGAUUUCUAGUACGAAUACGAACCGUGAUAGCGUGGCCUAUCGAUCCUUUAAACCUUCAGAAUUUGAGGCUAGAGGCGUCAGAAAAGUUACCACAGUAGUAACUGGCUUGUGGGAGCCAAGCGUUCAUAGCGAUGUUGGUUUUUGAUCCUUCGAUGUCGGCUCUUCUUAUCAUUGUGAAGUAGAAUUCACCAAGUGUUGGAUUGUUCACCCACCAAUAGGGAACGUGAACUGGGUUUAGGCUGUCGUAAGACAGGUUAGUUUUACCCUACUGAUGGCCGCGUCGCAAUAGUAAUUCAACCUAGUACGAGAGGAACCGUUGAUUCGCACAAUUGGUCAUUAUGCUUGGUUGAAAAGCCAGUGGCGUGAAGCUACCGUGCGCUAGAUUAUAGCUGAACGCCUCUAAGUCAGAAUCCGGGAUAGAAGCAACGCACGUGCCCGUCGCCCAAUUACCGACCCGCAGUAGGGGCCUUUGGCCCCCAAAAACACGUGUCAUAGGUGCAACGACCGCAGCGGAGAAGUCGCGGGUGCCUCCUUGGAGCGUAAUUCCCACCAAGUGGCGGGUAAAAUCCUUUGCAGACGACUUAAAUACACGACGGGGUAUUGUAAGUGGUAGAGUGGCCUUGCUGCCACGAUCCACUGAGAUUCAGCUCUUUGUCACUUUGAUUCGU